rfam:Mesocricetus auratus contig084187, whole genome shotgun sequence.
GCCCAGCUAGCUCAGUUGUUAGAGCAUGGGACUUUCAAUCCCAGGGUUGUGGGUUUGAGUCCCACAUUGGGCA